AUGGAGACGCGCGGCGGCCGGCAUUGGGGCGUUGCAACCACGGCGACAAGUGAUGGAGAUCCGGCCUUUUGUUUUUGGAAGCAGGCCCAAUUUUUGCUGCUAACACCUUCGUUUUUUUGCUGGAACAGUCUUUUUUUUUGCUACCAUGUGUUUUGCUUUUUGCCGGAACCAACUUCAAGCCGGCAUGGGGAAAAAGCUUCCACCCUAGGGAGAAAAAGCUUCAACCGGCUGGAAGAAAAGCUUCAAGUGCCAUGA
rnacentral:rRNA from 1 species